GUGCUCGCUUCAGCAGCACAUAUACUAAAAUUGGAAUGAUACAGAGAAGAUUAGCAUGGCCCCUGUGCAAGGAUGAUAUGCAAAUUUGUGAAGCAUUAAAAAAA
ensembl:snRNA Gm25524 predicted gene, 25524